UACGUAGGGUGCGAGCGUUGUCCGGAAUCAUUGGGCGUAAAGAGCGUGUAGGCGGCCCGGUAAGUCCGCUGUGAAAGUCCAGGGCUCAACCCUGGGAUGCCGGUGGAUACUGUCGGGCUCGAGUCCGGAAGAGGAGUGUGGAAUUCCUGGUGUAGCGGUGAAAUGCGCAGAUAUCAGGAGGAACACCAAUGGCGAAGGCAGCACUCUGGGACGUGACUGACGCUGAGACGCGAAAGCGUGGGGAGCAAACAGG
rnacentral:rRNA from 1 species